rnacentral:rRNA from 1 species
UACGGAGGGCGCAAGCGUUGUUCGGAAUCAUUGGGCGUAAAGCGCGUGUAGGCGGCUUGGCAAGUCGAGUGUGAAAGCCCGGGGCUCAACCCCGGAAGGUCGCUCGAAACUGCCUCGCUCGAGUCCCGGAGAGGAAGGCGGAAUUCCCGGUGUAGAGGUGAAAUUCGUAGAUAUCGGGAGGAACACCAGCGGCGAAGGCGGCCUUCUGGACGGUGACUGACGCUGAGACGCGAAAGCGUGGGGAGCAAACAGGAUUAGAUACCCUGGUAGUCCACGCCGUAAACUUUGGGUGCUAGGUGUCGCGGGUAUUGACCCCUGCGGUGCCGCCGCUAACGCAUUAAGCACCCCGCCUGGGGAGUACGGUCGCAAGGCUAAA